UUGCCCUAGUAACGGCGAGUGAAGCGGCAACAGCUCAAAUUUGAAAUCUGGCGCAAGCCCGAGUUGUAAUUUGUAGAGGAUGCUUCUGGGCAGCGGCCGGUCUAAGUUCCUUGGAACAGGACGUCACAGAGGGUGAGAAUCCCGUAUGUGAUCGGUUGGCACCCGCUACGUAGCUCCUUCGACGAGUCGAGUUGUUUGGGAAUGCAGCUCUAAAUGGGAGGUAAAUGCCUUCUAAAGCUAAAUACCGGCCAGAGACCGAUAGCGCACAAGUAGAGUGAUCGAAAGAUGAAAAGCACUUUGGAAAGAGAGUUAAAAAGCACGUGAAAUUGUUGAAAGGGAAGCGCAUGCAACCAGACUUGUCGGCGGUGUUCCGCCGGUCUUUUGACCGGUCUACUCGCCGUCGGCAGGCCAGCAUCAUCUGGGUGCGCCGGAUAAAGGCCUUGGGAAUGUAGCUCCUCGGAGUGUUAUAGCCCUCGGUGCAAUACGGUGUCGCCCGGGUGAGGUCCGCGCUUCGGCUAGGAUGCUGGCGUAAUGGUUGUCUGCGGCCCGUCUUGAAACACGGACCAAGGAGUCUAACAUCUAUGCGAGUGUUCGGGUGUCAAACCCCUACGCGCAAUGAAAGUGAACGGAGGUGGGAACUUCGGUGCACCAUCGACCGAUCCUGAUGUCCUCGGAUGGAUUUGAGUAAGAGCAUAGCUGUUGGGACCCGAAAGAUGGUGAACUAUGCCUGAAUAGGGUGAAGCCAGAGGAAACUCUGGUGGAGGCUCGCAGCGGUUCUGACGUGCAAAUCGAUCGUCAAAUUUGGGUAUA
rnacentral:rRNA from 1 species